CGGCCGUAUCUCGCUGAAACACCGGUUCUCGUCCGAUCAUGCAAGUUAAGCAACUUCGAAACUGAUCAGUACCGAGAUGUGUGACCGCUUUGAGAUUCGAGGUGCUGUAAG